rnacentral:rRNA from 1 species
GAUGAACGCUGGCGGCGUGCUUAACACAUGCAAGUCGAACGGAAAGGCCCAAGCUUGCUUGGGUACUCGAGUGGCGAACGGGUGAGUAACACGUGGGUGAUCUGCCCUGCACUUCGGGAUAAGCCUGGGAAACUGGGUCUAAUACCGGAUAGGACGAUGGUUUGGAUGCCAUUGUGGAAAGUUUUUUCGGUGUGGGAUGAGCUCGCGGCCUAUCAGCUUGUUGGUGGGGUAAUGGCCUACCGAGGCGUCGACGGGUAGCCGGCCUGAGAGGGUGUACGGCCACAGUGGGACUGAGAUACGGCCCAGACUCCUACGGGAGGCAGCAGUGGGGAAUAUUGCACAAUGGGCGCAAGCCUGAUGCAGCGACGCCGCGUGGGGGAUGACGGCCUUCGGGUUGUAAACUCCUUUCGCUAGGGACGAAGCGUUUUUGUGACGGUACCUGGAGAAGAAGCACCGGCUAACUACGUG